rnacentral:rRNA from 1 species
UACAGAGGGGGCAAGCGUUGUUCGGAAUUACUGGGCGUAAAGGGCGCGUAGGCGGCCUGUUAAGUCGAACGUGAAAUCCCCGGGCUCAACCCGGGAACUGCGUCCGAUACUGGCAGGCUUGAAUCCGGGAGAGGGACGCGGAAUUCCAGGUGUAGCGGUGAAAUGCGUAGAUAUCUGGAGGAACACCGGUGGCGAAGGCGGCGUCCUGGACCAACACUGACACUGAUGAGCGAAAGCCAGGGGAGCAAACGGG